AGGGUUCGACUGAAUUCCCUGACUGCCUCCGGUACAUCCGCCCCGACUGCUAGCGGAGCGAACCCGCUUACCCACGCUUCGUAAUUAGCUUCCAUUGCCUUGAACACCUUCUCUAUCUCGCCUUCCUCGAAUCCACCGUGGUGAAGCUCCGACUAGGAUGAGCUUGGAAAAGAGGUCGGGGCGGCGAAUAGCAGCGAGAAUUCCGAUCAUGGCAGAAACGGAGUGGCCGACAUAAGCGCAGCGAUCGAGAUUUAGGGCGUCGAGAAUAUUGAGCAAAUCGUCGACGAAGGCAUCGAGAGUGGUGUAUCGCCGGAAAUCGAAGUGAGCCGGGUUGACGCUUCCGGCGCAGACGAGGUCGUAGAGUAUGACACGGUAAUUUGGGGUGAAGUAGGGAAGAAUGCGUUGCCAAGCCGAUUGGUCCGUUCCAAACCCAUGUGCCAGCACUAGGUUUCUGGUACCCGACCCGACGACCCGAACGUUCAAUGCCUCCAAGAUAUUGUUGUUACCCAUGUCCGUACGUAUCUUUUAGUUCUCUCUCCCUUUGUUUUGGUCUCUCUUCUUUUUGUGUGUGUGCUGUAAAUAAUAUAAUAGGAUGAGAAAAAAAAAAAUAUUAAAUUAUAUUUAUAUUUAAGAUAAUUAGGUGGAGAGGGGUGUUGGGUAGGGUAGGUAUGCUGUGAGGACUUGCUAUAUGUUUUCCUGUGUGGAUUAGAUUAGAGGUUGCUAUUUAUAAUGGGAAAGGAGUAUCUUGCACAGUAGACCCUUUUCUUUUUCUUUACAUAUUUUUUAUUUUUCUGGUUGUAGAAAAUGUGGGAUAUGAUAUGAUGGAACUGAUUUUUGUGGGAUUGGAUUUGGAUCACGGCAUUCUGUGGGAGAGUUUUCAUUUUAA